UACGUAGGGGGCAAGCGUUGUCCGGAUUUAUUGGGCGUAAAGAGCGUGUAGGCGGUUAGGUAGGUCCGUUGUGAAAACUCGAGGCUCAACCUCGAGACGCCGAUGGAAACCCCCUGACUAGAGUCCGGAAGAGGAGAGUGGAAUUCCUGGUGUAGCGGUGAAAUGCGCAGAUAUCAGGAAGAACACCCGUGGCUAAGGCGGCUCUCUAGUACGGUACUGACGCUGAGACGCGAAAGCGUGGGGAGCGAACAGG
rnacentral:rRNA from 1 species